rnacentral:lncRNA from 1 species
CCAGAAGCUUUUUCCUAUCUUGAAACCGGCAGAGUUACUGGCAAAAUCGUCCUUCACCCAAUUCCAUGAAUAGAAUGAAUACGGAAUAUGUAUAAUAUUAUCGAAGUUAAACUUAUUAUAGAAAUUUCUUGAAACGUAUGAAUUAACCCUUUUUCCUAUAUAUUAAAUCAAAUCAUAAUAUUCAAGUAGUCAUCCGAAUAAUAUAAAUUCUAACUAGAAUUCCUUUGUAAUUAUUGAAUUCCUUUAUAUUAUAUGCAUACCAGUCCAAAAUCUUUACAAAAACUCAAUAUAGAAAAACAAAUUCCUCCCAUAGUUGACUCUAAACGUAUACAAUAUGACCCUACCUAGAGAACAGAACAAUCAACAUUUACCUCAAACAAAAAUGUAACAUUUGCUGUGUUUAUGAGAGUCUUUCAGGUAUACACUGAGUGCAAAGCAGUUAAUAUGUAUGCAGCAAAGGGAAAACCCAAAAAAAAAAACUAUGCUGUAACAAAAGUUAUUUGACAAAAAGAAGCUGCAACAAUGUGAGUUGUGCAACUAAUAAUUAUUAGCAUUCUGAUAUAUAUUACAAACUUGCUAAACAAGCUGUGAACAGUGAUAACACAAUUGAUUACUAGCUAAAACAUCACUUAGUCAGUUACUAGGGGCAUAAGCAUCAUAAUUUUGACAGUGAAGUAGUUGCUAUCACAGCACAAAACAUCUUGGUAGAAACCAUUGGUUGAUAGCAAGCACUAUGCAGGUCUUCAAUACAAGUCUUAAUUCAACACUCCUUCUUAGGACUUGCUUUGCAGACCCUUAACUUCAAUCUAAGGUCUUCAAACCUCUGCUUUGGCAAUGAUUUAGUGAAAAUAUCAGCAACUUGAUUUUUGGAGCUACAGUAGUUACAUUUAACUUCACCAUUACUUUCUGCGUCAUGUAUAGCAUGGAACUUGACUUUAAUGUGUUUUGUUCUGCCAUGGUUAAUAGGAUUUUAAGCAAUAGAAAUGGCACUCUUUUUAUCCAAAAUAACUCAGUGGCUCCUUUUUGUUCAAUCUUCAGAUCUUGAAUCAAUUUUCUGAGCCAUAUUGCUUGAUUUAUGAUAGCUGUAGCAACAAUAUAUUCUAUUUCAGCUAUUGAUUGAGCCACAACAUCUUGCUUCCUGGAAUUCCAGCUGAAAGCAGGAUUCCUAAGGGGAAAACAUAACCUGAAGUGCUUUUACAAUCGGUAGAGUCCCCUGCAUAAUCACUACCACUAAAGCCAUGUAGCUGGACUUCAAAAAUUCUUUUGUAACUCAAACCAAAGUCUAAGAUGCCUUUCAAAUAUCUUAAAAUUCUUUUAACAGCCAUGAAAUGUUGAAAUUGAAGGAGUUUGCAUGAAUCUUGAAAGGUAACUUAUUGAGAACAUAAUGUUUGGUCGAGUGCCACAUGCAUAUAAUAGACUCCCUAUUAAACUCCUAUAUGAUGAAGGCUCAGUAAACUCAGGAAGAUCACCAACAUCAGCUUUGUCAUUCACAACCACAAGACAAUCAACAGAUUUGCAACUCAACAUAUUAAACCUCUUGAGAAUCUCAAAAAUGUAAUUUUUCUGAGAAAAAAAAAAAGAUACCUUUUAAUUGCUCCAAAAGUACUUUUAAAUAGCCUCCAAAAUACUUACUUCGAAUCAAAUCCGGAAAAAAUUCUUAAAGAGAUAUCGUGCUGAUGCCACGGCCUCCACUUUCUGGCGUCGCGGCUCCCAACUCCCGGAUGCCUUGGCAUCGCAGCCUUACGUCUCUAGCGUCACAACGCCCUACUUGUUACCCCAUGUAUGGCUGCCUCAUCUUCUUGGUGCUGUCGCACCCAUAAUUCCGUGGCCGCAACGCCCAACUUGUUGAUUUUUUACUUAGCUUCAUUUUUAUUCACCGUUUUGAAGCCUUUGG